AGUGAGCGCUGGCGGUAGGCCUAACACAUGCAAGUCGAACGGCAGCACAGUAAGAGCUUGCUCUUACGGGUGGCGAGUGGCGGACGGGUGAGGAAUACAUCGGAAUCUACUUUUUCGUGGGGGAUAACGUAGGGAAACUUACGCUAAUACCGCAUACGACCUACGGGUGAAAGCAGGGGAUCUUCGGACCUUGCGCGAUUGAAUGAGCCGCUGUCGGAUUAGCUAGUUGGCGGGGUAAAGGCCCACCAAGGCGACGAUCCGUAGCUGGUCUGAGAGGAUGAUCAGCCACACUGGACCUGAGACACGGUCCAGACUCCUACGGGAGGCAGCAGUGGGGAAUAUUGGACAAUGGGCACAAGCCUGCUCCAGCCAUACCGCGUGGGUCAAGAAAGCCUUCGGGUUGUAAAGCCCUUUUGUUGGGAAAGAAAAGCAGCACGUUAAUACCCCGCUGUUCUGACGGUACCCAAAGAAUAAGCACCGGCUAACUUCGUG
rnacentral:rRNA from 1 species